rnacentral:lncRNA from 10 species
AUACUCAAGAUUCUAGACAGCAAAUUAUGUCCAAAUAGAAUAUACAUGACCUUACGGUAAUCCAGUAUGCUACUAUGCUGAGUUAGGGAUUGGGGUGAUCCAGACAAAAGUCUAAUUAAAACUAUCACUGAGGGAAUGGAACAGGGGGAAAUCAGCAUUUCUUACUUUCAUCUUGUCCUGUCAGAAUUUUACAAUAUCUAAAUAUCAAUUUUUUUGUCUGCAUGAACUUUAGUAGAGAAUUGUUUAUUAAGAAGAAGAUUAUUAACUCUUUAUUGGUAAAAUUUUACUGUGAGGCUAGCACCCUGUGAAAAUGAGGGAGCUAAACAUGGUGGAAGACAUUCCUGGGAUGUAAGUAAGAGUCCUAUCUACCUGGUCAUCAAAAAUCCUUUUUUAAAACUAGAACUCUUAAAAGGAUGGGAUCAGAAAAGAUCCUGCUAAUAAGAACAUGCAGCAGAUCUAUUUAUUGGAGACAGUACAAUUUGAAUAUGAUGAUGUCAUGCUAUGAAAAUGCCACAAUUGGUGGAUUAGUGUGGUUGGAUAGACUGGUGAUCAUGGAUUCUAUCCUGUUGAGGAGGGUCAACUGGCUUAGCACUGUUGUGAUAUUUUGCAUGUGCUAAGCUAGACAAACCAUAUAGGACAGACCUAAUAUAAAGGGGGACAGAGAUGGAUGCAGACUCACAUGAACUUUGUUUUUUACCUAAAUUUACUCUAAACUAGGAAGCAAGCAGUAUAAAAUACACACAUACACACACAAGGAUACAUGACAGUGGACAUAGCUUUUCAAUGGCUAUUUCUUGCCAGAGGAGCAUCUAAAACUCAGUGAUUAGUGCAUAUAAUACAAGCAGACAAAUUCACUAUGGAGCCCAGGAUCAACAAUGGCUGACUUUACUUCCUAUAGGCUGGGGGUACAGCUGCAUCGGUACUGGACACUCAACUUAUUAUUCUAUAAGACAAUUCUCACUACAGUCAUAUACUUCCAGAGUCUAGUUUUUGCUGUGUCAUAAGGGCUGGGGUAAGUUUGACCAUGGCUACACACCUACCCAUGUCUUUCAUUAAUAUAUUUUGUUGUUCAAAAAACUAUUCCCAGGCUGAUGACUAGGACAGAUGUGGAGAAAUUAACCUCGGAUCCUAAAAUAAAACAAGCUAAGGGAAACUGUACUCAUUAUGUUUUUGUUUUUAUUAGUUUUUUUUUUUUCUUUCUUUUUUUUUUUUUUUUUUGACACCUAGUAUCUUUACCUCCCAAUUUUUAUUUAGGUAUCUUGUACUCUCUAAAUUUCAACCCCAGCUUUGUAGUGAUUGCCUUAGGAAGGAGCCUGUGACCCUGUUGGUCGGUAGAAUAUCAGGAUUCAAUCUCAGAACUUUCAUUAGUGUCAUCUCAUUCACUCUUUCCUAAUGGCCUUGAAAGGGAGAAGGUGAUGAGAAGCUGGAGCUGUGACCCCUUUGUCACCAAGAUGAUGAUAAGCGUUUUGAGAAUGAAGACAGAACAUUGGGAGAAAAGUCCAAUGGUGGAGGCAGAAAAAAGUGUCCUGAAAUUCAUGGUUGGCUCAUUCUACACCAGCUGUCUGUGAGAAGACUCAGCUACAACCACAGACUGGAGCCCAUGAGUAGCGAACUCAGGCUUGCAAGGAGGCUGCACCAGAAUCAUAAGCUUACAGGAGAAACAUUUGAAAAGGUACAAAUGCAUUCCGUCACACACACAUGCUGACUUCUACCAGUUUCUGUUUUAGAAGGUAAACAAUCUUGAACCAAGAGGGGUAGAGGGUAUUAAGGGUUUGGCAAAUAAAAUACCUCUGGAGAUCCAAGGGAAAUAAUUAGUAUUGUAAUUAUUAUAAGGGAAUAAUAAUUAUUGCUAAACAAGUGAGUGUUCUCUACUUUUUUAGUAGAGAGCAGUCUUUCUUAGUUUGGCCAUUUGGCCAAUGUAUUUUGUGCUUUCUUCCAUUGGGCCGUCCGAUGACUCUACCUUGGAAUUUGCUUUUCUGGAAAUAAAAGAAAAGGAUAUGACUCAAAACUAUUUGAAAAUAAAUAUAUGUGUGUAUAUAUACAUAUGCAUAUAUACG